CAUCCCCCAACCAACACCACCGCGCAACUCGAUCUCAACGGAUCGCACGAUCAACCAGGCGCUGCUGGCUCAACUAUCACCUGCCCGGCUCUACAUAACCGCGGAGCAGAGCCCGUUCCUCCCUGCUCCACCUUCGUGACCCCGCGUGAGUGAUCCAGCGCCGCCGUGAGCAGUUGGCAUCAGCUAAUCCUGGAGGAGCGGCUGCUCGGAAAUCGUCACGGGAGUGCUAGGUCUUGAGGCCGCAGCCGGGUCACCACUCGACGGUGGCGGUCAGCGCAACGCGCUAAAAUCCAGUGAGUCCAUCCUUCCCUCUGCGGUACCCUUGGAUUCAUCGGUUGUCGUGGGCGAUUGGGGAUGACGAGGUAGGGAGCGGGCUCGAAGCCGGUGAGCUGGCGGUGAACUCUUGGUGGGGUCGGUGGCGAGCGUUGGCGCGCGGUCGGCUCAGUGCCCUGGCGUCGCGCUGGGGAAGAUGGCUAGCUAACUGUUGAUUUGUGAACCAGCGGGCAGGAUCGGGUGAGCACACUGAGGCCUAGUUUGGUGGACCCGGAAAUAGAGGGGAUUCAUGCGGAGGGGAUCUCCUUCUAUUCAAUUUUGAAUAACAAGUGGAUUCCUCUUGUGACACCCCAGUGUCACCUAGGGUUUCUCCUAGAAAUCCAAACCAAGAACCAUUAUUUCAUGUAAAUCAAAGUAAGCAUGAGCAUCAAAUUAACUUGAGUAAUAAAGAAUUCACCAAGUAUAUGCUUAAAAGUGUCAUAAUCAAAACAAUUGAGACUUUUGAAAGAUAAGAAUGUGCAACCCUAAUUAAGAACCCUAAGUGAGCCCCAUGAACAAAAUUCAAGAAAAUGAGGAAAAGGGAAUGAAAAAUUUAAAAUUUUGAGUUGAGCCAAUUAUACAAGUUAAAGUAUAUUUAUUAAGCAACAAGAAAGAUUGAGAAAGCUUAGCCAAAAUAAUUCAAAUAAAACCCCAAAUCAAGCUUCUCAUGUAGGGACUCAUUGGGAAUUCUGAAUUUCAGAAUUCUGAAAUUCAGACCUUGAGCCAAAGAUCAGGGAUGUUCACCUUGAUCCCUAACUCGAAUCCUAAUGGCCCCAUUGACAAAAUUUUGUCUAACUAACCCCUCUGUCGUAUGCCAGAAGAUGGCAUUGGGACGCGAGCCCUAGACACGACAAAACCUGGGAUUUGCCUCGGGUUUGGGCAGGGAGACAAACCAGAUUUCCUGGCUCCAUAUCUCUGCAACCAGUAGGCAAAAUCCUAUGACCCCCACGCAAGAAAGGUAGCUUGUAGGGAGGAGAAGAGGUUUUGUGCACUGACCAAGGCGAGAGCAGGCUCGGAUGAGCGACCACACGCGCCAGAACUUGGGCAGAACGCACGGGCACACGUGUUCGACCCUGGUCGGCACGCCAGAGCUCGCCCAACCCGCGCGCGCGCUCACCCCGGCGUCCGGUCAAGUCCGCCGCGCGCCCAUGCCCUCGGUCGUGCUCGCCCGCGCCUAUAAAGCCUCCCCGGGCGCACCUCUCUUCGCCCCGCACUCACCCUCACCGGCCAGCCACCUUUCCUUAGCUCCGGCGAGCUUAAUUCCGCCCGCCAUUGCCGCCAGAGCUUCGGCCGCCGGGGCCAGCCCACUCCAGCCACCCUCAAGCCCAGCCAGUGCUUCGGCUAGCUCCGCCAGUAGCCCGUUAAGCUUGCCAAGCCCUCGGACCCAACCGGACUUCACCGGAGGCCCGAGAUCGACCUCACCGGACUUCGGUCUUCCGCCGCCGCGCGUGGACCAAGCCAUCCAGUGAGUCUCCGCCCGAUUCCUUUCGCUCAUAUCUUCUCUGGCAUCCCGUGGACCUCCCUGACCUGUUUGAUUGAACUAUCUCGCCGUGACCAGGCCGGUCUCCUCGCCGCCGACGAGCAUCCCCGCCUGCGCGCGUGGACCGACCGACUCCGGCCAUCUCCGACGGCGUUCCGCACACCGUUGUGAUCCCCGCGACCUCCCCUUCAUCCUCGACCACUUCACCGGAGCAGUCUCGCCGCCGGUAAGCCCCUCCGCCCUUUUCUUCGUCGCGGCUACUGUUUAAGGUAGAAGAAGGACCUCGGGUUAGGUUCUGUAGAACCCGAGGGGUUUUCUGUAAUGUCAGCGACUCAUGUGAAUAGUAACCUAAGGACUGAUUCGCGAGGAAAACUUAGAAAACCGCCAGGGACCCCAGUGCAAAGUGGAUUUCCAUUUAAUCAAUUCUGUUAUUCUUUUUAAAAUGACCAGAGAACUUAGAAAAUCCAUAACUUGAUGAAAUCUUAAUAAAAAGUUGUCAAACCAAUUUUGCUAGCUCUGGAAUAUUAUGAUCUAUCAUUUAAAAAUAGUAAACCCUAUGCUUCCUGUUCUAAAUUUUUAAGUUUAAAUUUAAAAACAGAAACCCCCUAAACCUUGUUUAAUUAAGGAAAAUUAGUUUUUCUUUUGUGCUGAGCUCAAGAAAAUUUGUAGAUGUUUAAACCUUAUUUAGACACUGUUUAAAAAUAGUAGGAACCCCAGCAUUGGAAAAUAUGAUGUAGUUUUUCAUUUAAAGCUAUUUUGUCCAAAACUUAGAGAAAAUCAGAAAGGCCUUAGAAAUUAAUGAACAGUGAUUAAUAAUAUUUUUCCUAGUUUACUUAUGCAACAGAGAACCUAGGAAAAAUACAGAGACCAUUAAUUUGGACCAGUUUUAAAUUAAGAUGAUUUGUUUAGCCUCAUAUAGACUGAAAAUCAAUUAUUAGAGUUACAAAACUAUAACCAAAAUGAUUAAUAAAAAUCUAGUGGACUUAUAACCACCAGAGCCCCACUACAAAAAUACAGAGCACCUCAACCCAACUCUUUAAGUAAGGAAAUUAAAUGCAAAGUGAUAAUAAGGCAUUUUCCAACUAAAUCAUGAACAACCCUAAAUAAUGUGAUAAUGGGCAACCAAAAAUCAGCUAAGUCCAUGAUGAGACAAGCCACCAGAGAAAAAUGCAAACCCAUGAAAAGGAAGUAAACCCAUACCUUUUGUUAGUAAAUUAUGAGAAAGGCCACUUAAUUCAAAUAAUGCAAACCACCCCUUCCCUUAAGCAAAAAGAAGCCAAACUUCAAAAUGAUUGCUCUUGCACAAAAUACUAACUAAAAAAAAUAAGAACUCUGUUGUUUGAUGUUUUUCAAAUAUAGUGGUAGUAGAAAGCACCUAUUUGGCUAGAAACCUUAAGAAAACCAUAGGAAAAGAAUUAAAAGAUAUUAAUGGCUAGAAAUUUGUGUUAAGUCAUGUUAUAACACCUAAAAGCCAGCAAAAAUAAGUUUUAGAGAAUUACCCACUGUUAAAUAAUAGUUGUAGUUCAAAGUACCCCUUCUGCCCUAGAAUUUGGUAAUUUUGUCCAGAGAAAACUAUUCACCUUCUGAUUCCCAAAUUUUGAGACAGAGCAACACACACCAUUAACAGGCCACUGUAAUUUUUGCAGAAUUUUUGGAAUUUUAUAAAAGCAACUUGUAGUUCAAACCUACUCCAAAACAUUAAAGGAAUAAAAGAAAAGGAAAGAAGAAAUAAACCCCACCUCAAUAAGUCUAACUUGAGAACUUAUCAUUUAUCACUAAGACUUAAAAGGAAUUCAGUAGAAUCCCAAAAUCUAACCUACCCCUUUCCUUAGCUAAGUUUAACCCAAUUUACCCAGUAUACCACUAAGGGUUUUACAUAAGUAAAGUUAACUUGUUUUAACUUAAAAGAUCAUACACCUUUAAAGUUGUAAUUUCUAAAAGCACAUAUCAUAUCAUGCAUAUAUCUUACGCAUUGCAUUCAUUAGAUUGCAAUCUUGCCGACGGAGAGUACGUGCUCAUCCCCGAGCAAGGACCUGUCCAAGAGGAGGACCAGGAGCAGGCUUUAGAGGCUGCUAUUGAGGAUCUCCCCGCAGCC
rnacentral:lncRNA from 1 species